AUUAGAGUUCAAACGACCAGACAGGGCAGCUAACAAAGAUUCGUGGAAUAAGUUUGUUAUGGCUACAAAGGUAUCGCACAAUCCUGAGUGCCAAGAUGUGUUGCGCUUUCUCGGUCAGUACUGUGGUGUACCACAAAAUCUUUCUUUCUCAUUUGGAUGAAAAUUGUAUUGUUUGCUGUGAAAACCGCCCUCGUGAUCUCGGAGUGGAUUAUUUAUUUGUAUAAAGUACAAAAACAUCACUUAUCUAGUUCGUAUAUAUGACUUCUGAUAAUAGCAUUGUCGAUAUCAUAAAAUUUUAAAUUAUGUCCUUGAGUGGAUAAUCACUUAGAUGACUGGAAAGGAAAACUUAUCCAGUGAUCUACCUUAGUUAAAUUUAUAUAAACGUAAUGUCAGUUUGAAUGACUUAUGAUUAAAGGACAGUAAAAUUACAGUAUAUAGUUUUAAA